rnacentral:rRNA from 1 species
AUUAGAUAAAAAGCCAACGCGGCUUGCCGCUCCCUUGGUGAUUCAUAAUAACUUCUCGAAUCGCAUGACCUUGCGUCGGCGAUGCUUCAUUCAAAUAUCUGCCCUAUCAACUUUCGAUGGUAGGAUAGUGGCCUACCAUGGUUUCAACGGGUAACGGGGAAUAAGGGUUCGAUUCCGGAGAGGGAGCCUGAGAAACGGCUACCACUUCCAAGGAAGGCAGCAGGCGCGCAAAUUACCCAAUCCCGACACGGGGAGGUAGUGACAAUAAUUAACAAUAUAGGGCUCUUUUGGGUCUUAUAAUUGGAAUGAGUACAAUUUAAAUCUCUUAACGAGGAACAAUUGGAGGGCAAGUCUGGUGCCAGCAGCCGCGGUAAUUCCAGCUCCAAUAGCGUAUAUUAAAGUAGUUGCAGUUAAAAAGCUCGUAGUUGAACUUGAGAUCCGGUUGGGUGGUCCGCUUAACGGCGUGUACUGCUCGACUGGAUCUUGUCUCUUGGUGAUCGGUUGUGUUCUUAAUUGGA